GGAGUGGCUCAAUUGGCAGAGCAGCCGCCUUGUAAGCGGCAGGUUGUGGGUUCGAGUCCCAUCUCC
rnacentral:tRNA from 1 species